GACGAACGCUGGCGGCGUGCCUAAUACAUGCAAGUCGAACGCAGUGGGGACGGGUGAGUAACACGUGGGUAACCUCCCAUCAGAGGGGAGAACACUUGGAAACAGGUACAAAACCGAUACUGACUGAUGGACCCGCGGUGCAUUAGCUAGUUGGUGGGGUAACGGCUCACCAAGGCCACGAUGCAUAGCCGACAUGAGAGGCUGAUCGGCCACACUGGGACUGAGACACGGCCCAGACUCCUACGGGAGGAAGCAGUAGGGAAUCUUCGGCAAUGGACGAAAGUCUGACCGGGCAACGCCGCGUGAGUGAAGAAGGUUUUCGGAUCGUAAAGCUCUGUUGUUAGAGAAGCGGUAACUAACCAGAAAGCCACGGCUAACUACGUGCCAGCAGCCGCGGUAAUUC
rnacentral:rRNA from 1 species